GGGGAAUUUUGCGCAAUGGGGGAAACCCUGACGCAGCGACGCCGCGUGGAGGAUGACGGCCUUCGGGUUGUAAACUCCUGUCAGAAGGGACGAGAACCCGCAAGGGACUGACGGUACCUUCAGAGGAAGCCCCGGCUAACUACGUGCCAGCAGCCGCGGUAAUACGUAGGGGGCAAGCGUUGCUCGGAAUUACUGGGCGUAAAGGGUGAGUAGGCGGUCGAGCAAGUCAAGGAUGAAAUCCCGAGGCCCAACUUCGGAAUUGUUCUUGAAACUGCUCGACUUGAUGGUAGUUGAGGAGAGUGGAAUUCCCGGUUGAGCGGUGAAAUGCGUAGAUAUCGGGAGGAACACCUGAGGCGAAGGCGGCUCUCUAAACUACUCCUGACGCUGAAUCACGAAAGCUAGGGGAGCAAACGG
rnacentral:rRNA from 1 species